GGAGAGAAGGAAACACAGCAGGAGCCAUGAGAGAGCUGUAGACUGCCCCGGCCGAUGGCGGCUGCUUGCCUCGGAGGCUGAAUUUAGACGCCUGUAGGGCAAUGGGGCACACCUUACAGGCACCCUCUCAUCUUUCCUGACACUUAUUCUCAACCUUCUGUAAACCCUCCACCAGGCAUCUACUCAUUGAGACAGCAAGUCAAGUCAAUAAGCAGGGCAGAGGUCUGAGGAGCCAGCACCUCCCGAUUCCUGGAAG